CCUGGCGGCCUUAGCGCGGUGGUCCCACCUGACCCCAUGCCGAACUCAGAAGUGAAACGCCGUAGCGCCGAUGGUAGUGUGGGGUCUCCCCAUGCGAGAGUAGGGGAACUGCCAGGC
rnacentral:rRNA from 1 species